rnacentral:rRNA from 1 species
GUCUAUGGCCAUACUUCCCUGAACACUCCCAAUCCUGUAUGAUCUCAGAAGCUAAGCAGGGUCAGGCCUGGUUAGUACUUGGAUGGGAGACGACUGUAUCUUUUAAAGUUAUGAACUGAGGCUACCAGUACACU